rnacentral:rRNA from 1 species
ACGAACGCUGGCGGCGUGCUUAACACCUGCAAGUCGAACGGAAAGGCCCUGCUUUUGUGGGGUGCUCGAGUGGCGAACGGGUGAGUAACACGUGAGUAACCUGCCCUUGACUUUGGGAUAACUUCAGGAAACUGGGGCUAAUACCGGAUAGGAGCUCCUGCUGCAUGGUGGGGGUUGGAAAGUUUCGGCGGUUGGGGAUGGACUCGCGGCUUAUCAGCUUGUUGGUGGGGUAGUGGCUUACCAAGGCUUUGACGGGUAGCCGGCCUGAGAGGGUGACCGGCCACAUUGGGACUGAGAUACGGCCCAGACUCCUACGGGAGGCAGCAGUGGGGAAUAUUGCACAAUGGGCGGAAGCCUGAUGCAGCAACGCCGCGUGCGGGAUGACGGCCUUCGGGUCGUAAACCGCUUUCGCCUGUGACGAAGCGUGAGUGACGGUAAUGGGUAAAGAAGCACCGGCUAACUACGUG